GACGAACGCUGGCGGCGUGCCUAAUACAUGCAAGUAGGACGCAGUUGCGAACGGGUGAGUAACGCGUAGGUAACUGCCGAUUAGUGGGGGAUAACAAUUGGAAACAAUAGCUCAUACCGCAUACUAGUGGGUUGAGCUGCUGUGGAUUAGCUAGUAGGUAGGGUAAUGGCAUACCUAGGCAACGAUACAUAGCCGACCUGAGAGGGUGAUCGGCCACACUGGGACUGAGACACGGCCCAGACUCCUACGGGAGGCAGCAGUAGGGAAUCUUCGGCAAUGGGGGGAACCCUGAUCCAGCCAUGCCGCGUGUGUGAAGAAGGUCUUAGGAUUGUAAAGCACUUUCAGUUGGGAGGCGUUACCAACAGAAUAAGCACCGGCUAACUUCGUGCCAGCAGCCGCGGUAAUAC
rnacentral:rRNA from 1 species